UGCCCUAGUAACGGCGAGUGAAGCGGCAACAGCUCAGAUUUGGAAUCUGGCUCCCCUCGCGGGGGUCCGAGUUGUAAUCUGGAGAGGAUGCUUCUGGCGCGGCGCCCACCGAGUGCCCUGGAACGGGACGCCGGAGAGGGUGAGAGCCCCGUACGGUGGUGCGCCUAGCCUCUGCGAAGCUCCUUCGACGAGUCGAGUAGUUUGGGAAUGCUGCUCAAAAUGGGAGGUAAAUUUCUUCUAAAGCUAAAUACCGGCCAGAGACCGAUAGCGCACAAGUAGAGUGAUCGAAAGAUGAAAAGCACUUUGAAAAGAGGGUUAAACAGUACGUGAAAUUGUUGAAAGGGAAGCGCCCGUGGCCAGACUUGCGCGCCGGCGGACCACCUAGCGUUCCUCGCUGGGGCACUCCGCCGGCCGCAGGCCAGCAUCGGCUUCGCCAGGGGGACAAUGGCGGCUGGGAACGUGGCUCCCCCCUCUGGGGGGAGUGUUAUAGCCCGCCGCGCCAUGCCCCUGGGGAGGCCGAGGACCGCGCCCCUCGUGGGCAAGGAUGCUGGCGUAAUGGCCACCGGCGACCCGUCUUGAAACACGGACCAAGGAGUCAAGCAUUGGGGCGAGUGUCUGGGUGCCAAACCCGCACGCGAAAUGAAAGUGAACGCAGGUGAGAGCUUCGGCGCAUCACCGACCGAUCCUGAUGUCCUCGGAUGGAUUUGAGUAAGAGCCUUACCGCUUGGACCCGAAAGAUGGUGAACUAUGCCUGUAUAGGGUGAAGCCAGAGGAAACUCUGGUGGAGGCUCGCAGCGGUUCUGACGUGCAAAUCGAUCGUCAAAUAUGGGCAUGGGGGCGAAAGACUAAUCGAACCAUCUAGUAGCUGGUUACCGCC
rnacentral:rRNA from 1 species